CAGAGGUUACUGCUAUSGRGCRYYCGACUAAGCCAUGCGAGUUGAAUGUUCUUCGUGAACAUGGCGGACUGCUCAGUAACACGUGGACAACCUACCCUUGGGUCCGGCAUAAUCCUGGGAAACUGGGAAUAAUUCCGGAUAGGUCACCGAUGCUGGAAUGCGCGGUGGCCGAAAGCUCCGGCGCCCGAGGAUGGGUCUGCGGCCUAUCAGGGUUGUAGUGGGUGUAACGUACCUACUAGCCUACGACGGGUACGGGUUGUGAGAGCAAGAGCCCGGAGAUGGAUUCUGAGACACGAAUCCAGGCCCUACGGGGUGCAGCAGGCGCGAAAACUUUACAAUGCGGGAAACCGUGAUAAGGGGAUCUCGAGUGCCAGCAUAUAAUGUUGGCUGUCCAGAUGCCUAAAAAGCAUCUGUUAGCAAGGGCCGGGCAAGACCGGUGCCAGCCGCCGCGGUAACACCGGCGGCCCGAGUGGUAACCGCUAUUAUUGGGUCUAAAGGGUCUGUAGCCGGCCAGGUAAGUCCCUUGGGAAAUCUGGCAGCUCAACUGUCAGGCUGCUAGGGGAUACUGUUUGGCUUGGGACCGGGAGAGGUGAGAGGUACCUUGGGGGUAGGGGUGAAAUCUUGUGAUCCUCGAGGGACCACCAGUGGCGAAGGCGUCUCACCAGAACGGGUCCGACGGUAAGGGACGAAAGCUAGGGGCACGAACCGGAUUAGAUACCCGGGUAGUCCUAGCCGUAAACGAUGCUCGCUAGGUGUCAGUCACGGUGCGACCGUGAUUGGUGCCGUAGGGAAGCCGUGAAGCGAGCCACCUGGGAAGUAUGGCCGCAAGGCUGAAACUUAAAGGAAUUGGYGGGGSAGCMCUACAACGGGUGGAGCCUGCGGUUUAAUUG
rnacentral:rRNA from 1 species